rnacentral:rRNA from 1 species
UACAGAGGUCUCAAGCGUUGUUCGGAUUCAUUGGGCGUAAAGGGCGCGUAGGCUGCGGGGCAAGUCGGGUGUGAAAUCUCAGAGCUCAACUCUGAAACUGCACUCGAUACUGCUUUGCUUGAGGACUGGAGAGGAGAUUGGAAUUCACGGUGUAGCAGUGAAAUGCGUAGAUAUCGUGAGGAAGACCAGUGGCGAAGGCGGGUCUCUGGACAGUUCCUGACACUGAGACACGAAGGCCAGGGGAGCAAACGGG